rnacentral:hammerhead_ribozyme from 1 species
ACCACUGACGAGUCCCAAAUAGGACGAAAUGCACAUCCUGGAU